AUUGAACGCUGGCGGCAUGCCUUACACAUGCAAGUCGAACGGUAACAGAUCUUCGGAUGCUGACGAGUGGCGAACGGGUGAGUAAUAUAUCGGAACGUGCCCAGUCGUGGGGGAUAACGCAGCGAAAGCUGUGCUAAUACCGCAUACGAUCUAUGGAUGAAAGCGGGGGAUCGCAAGACCUCGCGCGAUUGGAGCGGCCGAUAUCAGAUUAGGUAGUUGGUGGGGUAAAGGCCCACCAAGCCAACGAUCUGUAGCUGGUCUGAGAGGACGACCAGCCACACUGGAACUGAGACACGGUCCAGACUCCUACGGGAGGCAGCAGUGGGGAAUUUUGGACAAUGGGCGCAAGCCUGAUCCAGCAAUGCCGCGUGCAGGAUGAAGGCCUUCGGGUUGUAACUGCUUUUGUACGGUAACGAAAGACUCUUUCUAAUAAAGAGGGUCCAUGACGGUACCGUAAGAAUAAGCACCGGCUAACUACGUGCC
rnacentral:rRNA from 1 species